AGUAAAAACGUCCAAUGGCAUGUUUUCAUGGAUGCCAAGGGAAGCCAGGCCUCCCCAAAAAUCUAACUGAAAACUGUCUGAGAUUGUAGCUCACCAUAACAGCACUGUUGCAGACUACAGGGAACAUUGUCAGUUUCAAUUAUCUGAUAUCUAUUUAUCCAGAAAUGUAUUCAAUACCUUCACUGUAGGAACAUCCGCUUUAUUGGAAUCGCACACUUAAAUUAGUAAUAAUCAAAAAUACUUAACCUAGUCAGCCAAAAAACAGAAAACACUGGAAAACAAUAUUGGCAUGUCAAUCACAUUGUAUGGGUAUGAGCUGGAAAGUUUGCACAGUGAUUCCUUCAUUCAAAUGGAAAGUUAACUCAGCAUUAGAAUAUAACUUCUUCUUUUUUUAAAAGUGAUUAGGGAGUUCAGGUAUAUACAUCAUACACAUACAGUAUGUUUCAUAUUGAAGUAUGGGAUUCAGAUUUGAGUGGAAAGUGUCAUUCAAUUCAAAUUGUGACCUAGUUUCUUCAUACACUAAAACAUUUACAAAAAGGGAAUUAUGUGAAUACAUACAACUGACCAGGUUAGAGUGAAGAUAAACGUUCAAAUAAGUUUUAUCUACAAAAUAAGUAUGGUUACUGUUAAAAAAUAAUUAAUUUGUGCUGUGGUCAGUGUUCUGUCGUGGAAAUUCAGUACUGAGAGAGACUUGGUCAUUUCUUCAAACAAUCAUCUUUAUGUAAUAUCAAUUAAUUAUUGCAAUAAUGAAACCGUCGGCUGAGAGCCUAACUGAUAAGGAAUAAAGAGAUAUUAUAUAGGCCCUAAAAAUGCUUAGUCAGUCAUUUCUAACCUUCCCAUAAGCCCCCUUGGUUGAUGUCCUGGUUAUCUGCAUGGGAUGUUGUUUUACUUCCAUCCAGCUUAGUUUCCCAGAUGCCAGGAAGAUGAGAAAAUGAGGCAUUGUUCUAAACUCUUCCAGGUUAUCUCUAUCUCGGGUCACACACACCACAUCUUGGAAAACAAUAUUGGCAUGUCAAUCACAUUGUAUGGGUAUGAGCUGGAACGUUUACACAGUGAUUCCUUCAUUCGAAUGGAAUGUUAACUCAGCAUUAGAAUACAAUAAAAGGAACACACCACAUCUUGUCUAUGAAGUGCCAACUUUAGGUUUUUAUCAGCAAGCCAUUGUCAGCUCAAGCAAAACCCAUUUUCCUUGACCAUACGCCCAGACUAACUGCAGGAAGCUAGAGUGGAAACCAUCUCUUCAACAGUUGCCAGCCCAUGCUUCAAAAGACUCCUCUCAGUUAACUCAGAAAGAGAGUCCUAAGAACCUUACUCUAUUUCAUAAAACAACAAUUUGGUGUAUAAACAUAACAUAAUCUUGUAAUUAUGCUAUCACAGUUCAUAAAAGUACUGUUCUGUUUUCUCUUUUGAUAACUUGGUCAUUGGGAUCUGUGCGCAUCACUGAAAGUUUAUGGGCUCUAUUAAAUCCGUAUCACGGAAGUUCAGCGUUACGGCGUGAUUGAAAUUGAAAGGCAACAUUCCUGCGUUAGUGGAGACUGUAUUCACGCGUCGGAAAUUACCUUUACAUUUCUAUUACGCUUCAGCACUACAGGUUGAACAGAGCCCUGGAUGUAUGGGCAGCAGCAUCCUCAGCACCCCUACUUCCUGUGGCUAUGUCCAGCUCACAACUGGCAAACUCGGACUUAGAGUAUCCUGGGAUGGUGGCACCGGGCACCCACUCUUUUGUGUAAGGAUUGAGUUUCUCAGUGAAGGACAGUCUGGAGAAGCCGUUUCUGUCACAGCCUCCGAUCACCACGAUCACCUCCG